UUGACAUCUAGAUGUGCUGUGCACCAUUUGUACAAAGGAUUGUGCUAAGGUGGCUCUAUCCAUUGCUGGUUCUCUCUCUGUGAUCCAGCUGGGUUUGCUCAAGAAACCAUCUCCAUCAGCUUUGUUCAUUUGUUUCCUGUAUACAAACUUGUCAGACAAGAGAGUCUUUGUGGUGAAGAAACAAACCAAACACCUCUAACAAUGAAGCCAAACAGUGUAAGCAGAGUGCAGGCAGAUACCUUUCCUUGUGAAUGGACUGUCAACAUGAGAUCGGCCUUGCAGCUCACCCUGGAAUGGCCCAGAGAAUGGAAUCGCUGUGAGUCCCGUCAGCUGGACACGUCGUCGAGUCAGAAUAAGGAGAAUUUAAAUUAGCACAAUGGAGCGUAGUCUGCGAGUGAUUCGCACCCAGUGGGAAUGAGGCUCUUGCAAUAUGGGGGUCCUGCAUCGCGUUUGUUCCAUGCCCAGGAAGUCUGAGCUGAUUCAAUGUGAAAACAUCCCUGACAUCAUGUGUCUGGGUAAUAACCAGAAACAGCUUUGCGCACUGACCUGUAGUUUCUGUACUUGUAAAAAUAAGUGAUAAGGAUAAUCUAUGUGGGUGUUCAGUCGCUUCCCAAAUUUUAGUGCUCGUGUUUAUCCACGGUAUGAGGGCUUGUUGCUCUUUCUCUGUGUGCUCACUGUGCGCGGUGUUAGCUGUAAGGGGAGCUGUCUGACCAUGCCUGUAGCUGGUCCUUUUUCCUGUAGCUCUCCUGAGCUUCUUGUAGGACAUGACACAUUGUGUCCUUGUGUUGUUUCUACCUGUUGUUUUUGUGUGUCUCCACACAGUGUCCAGA